rnacentral:misc_RNA from 1 species
AAAAAAAAAAAAAGAGAUUAAAAAUAUGAAGAAUCUGAUUUAAAAAUCCCAACAACAUUGUUUUUAGUAAAUGUUGUUGUUGUAUACUGUUAAAGCAUCAAAAGAAAGAUAUAAACAAUCAUAGCACAUUAAAUGUCGGAUUCCUUAGGCUUCAGAAUCAGUUAGUUACUAAACUGGCUUAACUGAAAGGAUACAAGGAGAAGCUAUCUACUCACAAAUCAGUCAAGUUGACCAACUU